rnacentral:rRNA from 1 species
AGUAGAACGCUGAAGCUUGGUGCUUGCACCGAGCGGAUGAGUUGCGAACGGGUGAGUAACGCGUAGGUAACCUGCCUCUUAGCGGGGGAUAACUAUUGGAAACGAUAGCUAAUACCGCAUAAAAGUCAAUAUCGCAUGAUAUUGAUUUGAAAGGUGCAAAUGCAUCACUAAGAGAUGGACCUGCGUUGUAUUAGCUAGUUGGUGAGGUAACGGCUCACCAAGGCGACGAUACAUAGCCGACCUGAGAGGGUGAUCGGCCACACUGGGACUGAGACACGGCCCAGACUCCUGCGGGAGGCAGCAGUAGGGAAUCUUCGGCAAUGGGGGCAACCCUGACCGAGCAACGCCGCGUGAGUGAAGAAGGUUUUCGGAUCGUAAAGCUCUGUUGUAAGAGAAGAACGAGUGUGAGAGUGGAAAGUUCACGCUGUGACGGUAUCUUACCAGAAAGGGACGGCUAACUACGUGCCAGCAGCCGCGGUAAUACGUAGGUCCCGAGCGUUAUCCGGAUUUAUUGGGCGUAAAGCGAGCGCAGGCGGUUAGAUAAGUCUGAAGUUAAAGGCUGUGGCUUAACCAUAGUACGCUUUGGAAACUGUUUAACUUGAGUGCAGAAGGGGAGAGUGGAAUUCCAUGUGUAGCGGUGAAAUGCGUAGAUAUAUGGAGGAACACCGGUGGCGAAAGCGGCUCUCUGGUCUGUAACUGACGCUGAGGCUCGAAGCGUGGGGAGC